rnacentral:rRNA from 1 species
UACGUAGGGUCCGAGCGUUGUCCGGAAUUACUGGGCGUAAAGAGCUCGUAGGUGGUUUGUCGCGUUGUUCGUGAAAACUCACAGCUCAACUGUGGGCGUGCGGGCGAUACGGGCAGACUGGAGUACUGCAGGGGAGACUGGAAUUCCUGGUGUAGCGGUGGAAUGCGCAGAUAUCAGGAGGAACACCGGUGGCGAAGGCGGUUCUCUGGGCAUGUCCUGACGCUGAGGAGCGAAAGCAUGGGGAGCAAACAGG